rnacentral:rRNA from 1 species
UACGAAGGGUGCAAGCGUUAAUCGGAAUUACUGGGCGUAAAGAGCUUGUAGGCGGUUUGUCGCGUCUGCUGUGAAAAUCCGGGGCUCAACCCCGGACUUGCAGUGGGUACGGGCAGACUGGAGUGUGGUAGGGGAGACUGGAAUUCCUGGUGUAGCGGUGGAAUGCGCAGAUAUCAGGAGGAACACCGAUGGCGAAGGCAGGUCUCUGGGCCACUACUGACGCUGAGAAGCGAAAGCAUGGGGAGCGAACAGG